GACCGCAGCACCCAGUCAGUCACUGCAGCCAGCUCGCUUCGGCGAGGACAUGCAGGCACCCCUCCUCUCCUCUGCAGUGUGCCACAGUGCUGGAUGAAGACUAUUGUUCUGGUGCCCUCGUCUUCCUCUGGCACCACACCUCACCCACCACACCAGCCCACUUCGUAAACAAAUGGCUUUCAGCCUACUUUCCUAUAACAGAAAACAGAGCAGAGUGGAGUCAGCAUUCACAGUCAGAGGCAGGCGCAAGCACCAGAUAAACGCCCGCUUUAAGUGUGUGUAUACUGUAUGUACAUGUGAGUGCAAUUUAACUAUGCUUUGUGUUUCUCUGUUUAUCUUUCUGUCAUUUUUCACAAUGCACUGAGUAAGAAGGCCUGGAUGGAAUCUGCAGACAGUUUUCACACUUUCAGUUGCUGUGUGAUUCUGUCUGAUGGAUUAAAACAUGGUAAAAUGUGGUAAAUUGAUCUAAAAAUACAUAAGUAUUCUUGGUAUCUAAAUGAAUAAUCAUUAUUAGUGAAAGACAAACAUUGCAUUGCUGUGCAAAUGUGCAGAUUACACAUGGGCCUAGAAAUCACCAUUCUGUGUCUCGACAGAGCUAUUUAUAUUUCAUUCUUAUGAAAGAUGUUUGGUUUCAUCUUCUGAUCUGUUUUUCUUUUCCCAACUUAUGUAUAUUUUACGUCUGUCCUCUGUAUCAUCCCUCCUGCCUCUCAUUCCAUUUCCCAGCCACAAACACUGAGAAUAUUCCUUCCUUCUCUCUUUCUCUCUCUCUCUGUCUGUCUCUUUCUCUCUUUCUCCCUCUAUCUCCCCCCUUCCCAACCCUCUCUCUGUCAACUAAAGCCCUUUCAUAAUGAAUGGCAAGGUACGAUAAUAGCCUUUCGGUUGCUAUAGUAACCAGACAGGAGCUCUGUUCGUGCUGUAUUUUUGUCCUUUUUUUUUUUUUUCAAGGGGGCAAAUGACAGUGGAAUGUGAGGUGAAACCCUCCCUCUCACUUUCCCUCCUUCUCUUUCUCAUACAC